AAUUAUUAUUGUGCUAAUAUCUCCUCAAAAAAUCUAUUGUGCGCUGAGUACCUUUGAGUUUGUACAAUAAAAUUAGUGAAAUGCCGAAAAAAUAUCACAUUACGCUUGGAUUGAAAUUAAUGGAGGACUUGAAAUUUGGAGCUACCUGCCGCACGAUAACAAAAUAUUUUUUCGAAUAUGCCCGUAGCCCCAUUUUCUCAUUCUGUGUAGAAAUAUGCCAAUAGAACCGUCCCUAGUUGAAAGUCUGUACAUAGAUUAAUGGAGGUUGUCUGUAAGGAUGUGAUCACCAAAAUUAAAGGAAAGAUUGGAGAUAAGGAUAUUUGUAUAGCUGUUGAUGAGACUAAAGACAACCGGGAUCGAUCAAUAACAGCUGUAUUGAUGGUUUUUUUUUGGAUGGACGUUUCUUUGGUCGUCCUUUUGUAUCUAAUAAUUUGUAAUAUUUAGUGUCGUUUGAUAUUAUUAAUUUGUUUCACUUUCUGUGUAUAGCUACCAUUAAAUUUCUAAUUAAUA
rnacentral:lncRNA from 1 species